AAAAUAUUUUGCAGAUGUCGGCAUGAAUUUGACAGUCCAGCGCCAGCUGAAAAAUGAAUGAAAAUCUCAAGAACAAACUUAAAAAAGAAAAAAGGAAAAGAAUGAAGAUGGAGAGAAGAUAUAUGAAAGUAAUGAAAGCAGUAUUGGAGUCAAGCGACACCGAUUCAGAAUAAGGUGAUGUAAUAAAUUAAAAGCAAUUGGCGUCCUGGAUAAAUGAACUCAAGGAACAAUUAAAAGAUGAGAAGAAGAAGAGAAGAUAACUAAGAUCCAGAUUCAGGUUGGUGAUGAUUCCAUCGAGUAGAGAUGAUACCAGAUAUGCUGAAUAGCGACUCCAACUCAGAUUGAGAAAUCUGAUGUCUUCUACACCUUUUUAUCAUAAAUAGAACGACAUCAAAAGAGUUGGUGAAAGCCAGAAAUCUAAGAUUCCCAAGAUCAAGACCAAGGCUGCACCAAAACCUUCAAAACUGAAAGAGAGAGAAAUAAAGAGAGAGAACUAAAGAGAGAGAACUAAAGAAAGAGAACUAAAGAGAGAGAACUAAAGAAGGCCGAGAUACAGUUCCUUAAGGAGGCAUUGAAAGAAAAUCCAGAG